CCAGAGUAGAGUCCAGGUUCCUGCUUCCAGCCUUCUGGUAGACCAGGCCCUGCCACAAAAAGUGCCAUUCAGAAAGCUCGCCAGCGAGAAGAGAGCUCCACGCUCAGCCUCAGAAGAAAGACGUUCAACGACUUACUGGGGAGAGAAAGAAAAGGAACGGGAGCUGAGAGCUGGGAGUGGAGUAUGAAGACCAAGGAAUUCUCUUAAAGACCUGAGCAGUUAUCUGGAACUCCUCACAAAAUCACAGUAAUGGAUAUUAUUUCCCAGUUCCUACUCUACACUGGGCAUAGAUGUUAUGGACAUCUUCUGAGUCCCACAACACCCCUGCAAGGCAGAUAUGAUACACUCCUUUCACCUAUGGAGAACGGAGGCUCAAAGAGGCUAGGUGACCCUCAGGAAACACAGAUGAGAGGUCCCCGCCCAGUCUGCCCAGCUCUGAAAUCUUCCAUGCCAACUCCCUUAGGGCGAUCCUGAGUCUAGGCUGUACAGGCAGUUCAUGUGGUUGUAUUUGAAUAAAAUCCCUUUCCUCCAGG
rnacentral:lncRNA from 1 species